UCAAACAAGAAAUAAAUUUGAUUGGUGCCUAGGAAAUUUCUUUAUGAUUUUUCAAGCUAUAAAAGAACACCAAGAUCAAUUCAUACCACCAUAACAAAAUCUUUUAACAUAAUAACAGUUGUGAGAGUUGGAAAUUGUAAGAGUAUGUCAGGAGUGAAGUUGCUUGGACAUAGUGGGAGCCCUUUUAGUCGCAGAGUUGAAUGGGCUCUGAAUAUUAAGGGCAUAGAAUAUGAGUUGAUAGAAGAAGAUUUACAGAACAAGAGCCCUCUGCUUCUUCAAUCGAACCCUGUUCAUAAGAAGAUCCCUGUGCUGUUGCACAAUGGCAAGCCCAUUGCUGAGUCACUUGUAAUUGUUUAAUAUAUUGAUGACACAUUUGAUGGCCCUUCCACUUUACCUAAAGACCCUUGUGACAGAGCAGUUGCACGUUUCUGGGCUAAGUUCCUCCACGAGAAAGAGGGAUUCCGUGCUAUGUAGGUAUUAUGGAAUGAAUUCAAGUGAUUUGGAGCUUUGAAGUCUGAGUAAAAGCCCAAGGAAUUAAGCCGAGAUCGAGUUGAGGGAUCAACAGAUGAUAGUUAAGAACGAAACAAAGAAUCGAGCGGGCAUACAAUGCAUUGUAUAGUAAAAUGCACAUAACUUUUCACUCAGAACUCUGUUUGGGCUCCACAAUAUAUCGUUGGAAAGCUAUUUGGAAGGGCUACAACUUUUAUGUUUUGUGAUGUCGUAAAUUCCCAAUACAGCGAUGCAUGGUGCGCCGUGCCUGUGAAAAUUUCCUGCAGCCUGUCAGAAUCGGCAAUCUGAACUUUUCCACUGCCGCACCGCAUGGUGCGUCGCACCAUGCGGUGCGAUAGUGCAAAUUUUACAGAGUGGUUGUCUUAUUUCGCGUGGGCAAAGGUAUUUUCGUCUGGGCCCAACCCUACUUGGUAUAAAUACAUGUAAAAACGCUAUUUUGAGGAGGUUGGACAGAUUUGAGACACAUAUUCGACCUAAGGAGGCAGAGACA